rnacentral:rRNA from 1 species
UUUAGCCUACGGGGGGCAGCAGUGGGGAAUAUUGCACAAUGGGGGAAACCCUGAUGCAGCGACGCCGCGUGAGUGAAGAAGUAAUUCGUUAUGUAAAGCUCUAUCAGCAGGGAAGAAAAUGACGGUACCUGAGUAAGAAGCCCCGGCUAACUACGUGCCAGCAGCCGCGGUAAUACGUAGGGGGCAAGCGUUGUCCGGAUUUACUGGGUGUAAAGGGCGUGUAGCCGGGCUGACAAGUCAGAUGUGAAAUCCGGGGGCUCAACCCCCGAACUGCAUUUGAAACUGUUGGUCUUGAGUAUCGGAGA